CACGGAGUUAGCCGGUCCUUAUUCUUACGGUACCGUCAAGCCUCUACACGUAGAGGUGUUUCUUCCCGUACAAAAGCAGUUUACACACCAUAGAUGCUUCAUCCUGCACGCGGCAUGGCUGGAUCAGGCUUGCGCCCAUUGUCCAAUAUUCCUCACUGCUGCCUCCCGUAGGAGUCUGGUCCGUGUCUCAGUACCAGUGUGGGGGAUCUCCCUCUCAGGACCCCUACCCAUCAUUGCCUUGGUAUGCCGUUACCAUACCAACUAGCUAAUGGGACGCAUGCUCAUCUUACACCGAUAAAUCUUUAAUAUAAAAUUGAUGCCAACUCUAUAUACUAUAAGGUAUUAAUCCAAAUUUCUCUGGGCUAUCCCUUAGUGUAAGGCAGAUUGCAUACGCGUUACGCACCCGUGCGCCGGUCUCAAGCACCGAAGUGCUCUACCCCUCGACUUGCAUGUGUUAGGCCUGCCGCUAGCGUUCAUCCUGAGC
rnacentral:rRNA from 1 species